GUGAGCAACGGGUUCAUCUGCCGCCGUUUGUUUACCACCGCCUUCGUUAGCAACGACCGUCCACCGCCUUAUUCUACUAUAUUUUAUUUCACUCCGAAGAGAGACAAGUAAAACACCUUGUUUGUUUGUUUUGGUUCUUCACCAUGUUUGUAGAUGUUGAGCUUUUUUUCCUUCUUCACCGUUUUUGAAGAGUUUGAGUAGAGAGAAAUAAAUAGAUUAGAUACAGAGAGCAGGUAGUUUAAUACACUUUGGAAACCAUAUCAGUUUUUAAUUUUCAUUUAUAAUUUAUCAAAAUAUUAAAUGUGUUUUUCAACUUUUUUUUUUAUGGAUAACUACGCACUCCCACAUGUAUGUGGUAAACCCUUUGAUUAUUUGCGUUAUUAUUUUAUAUCAAAAUUUUCUUAUUAAAAAUUAGCCACAAAUACAUUAUGUAUGUAUAUGUUUCUUCGUCUAUACAUGUAUAUGGAGAAGUGAAGAUGGAUCUAUUGCUGCUACAAGCCUUUUCUUUUAAAAAAAUGUUGUUUAAACCAACCUGAUCCGACCCGAAACUCGUUCUGACUCAGACCCUUUUUAACCCGAACCCGUUAUGAUCCGAACCCGUUUUAACCCAAACCAAAACAACGCUUUUUAUUGACCCGUUUUGACCCGCCACCCAACCCGACCCGACCCACCCAUUUUGCCAGGUCUAUGUAAAAGCAUAAAUAGAGAGAGGGUUGUUGCGUAGCUGUUUCCGUCGGCUUUGCAGCCAUCUAUGGCGGCGACGGAUGUUUGCGGCCUUAUAUUUCUCUCUUUGUGUUUGACUUGAUGAUGGUGUGGUCGGACUCAUCUGAAAAGUUGAUUGCUCAAUGUUAUUGGUUAACCUAAACAUAUUUUGGUGUUAAACGUUGAAUGUUUGUCUUAUUAUUUUGAUUCUAUGUUCGUAUGGAUGAUAGUGAGCCUAAGCUUAUGUGAGAGAUUGAUUAGUUUUGUUAUGGACGUCUGUUUUCUACGUGAUCCAGGAUGUGAUGACACUCUGCUAUUUGGCAUGGCAACUUAUGUUGUAACCAUAAUGGAGAUCUGAGAGUAGUUGGUUAGGGGUGGGGGUUUCAAUUUGGAGGUUUGAUGAAGAGAAAAAAACGAAUAACAUCAUCGUUUAGGGGUGAGGGGUUUCAAUUUGUUUCGGCUUGAGUAUGGGUGUAACAAGUUUUGAAGAUGUGUUUGAUUUGGAAAUUAUGUCCCAAACCCAAACAAGAAUGAGGAAGGAAAAGGACCAUCACCUAAGAUGAAAGAACCGUCUGUUGUCAAAAUGUCACAUGAGGAUUGAAUUGUUUCUAUCGUUUUUUCAUUGUCUUUUGAAGUUAAAACGUUGGCGCCUUCAGGAGGUUGGAUGGUAUGAGAGCCAUUCCUAUUUGGUUUUACAUUUAGAAAUAACUACAUAACCUUGAGAUUUUGUUCUAACUAGAAUUACGACCUGCCGCAAUGCGGCGGGGAUUAUUUAAUUAUAACUAAGUCGAUUUAGGACCCACACGUUAUGUUGAACUUGUCAAACGGGGAAAAAAUAGACGAAGUAAAAACGUUCACCCACACACGUACGUGUUAACUCGUAAAAUUUAGAACGAAACGUAAAAACGUUAAACCAAAAACGCACGUUGCGAUGUGUUAAGUCACAAAAUUUAGAACGAAGUAUAAAGCGAAAAAUUUGCGGAAAAUGAAAAUUAUAAAGGACCAAAGUUGAAAGUAAAAAAGUUGUGAGGAUAGAUUGCAAAAGAUAAAAAGUUUUGGGUUAAAAGUAAAAAAAAUCAACUUUUUUUUAAAAACCCCCAAAGCCAAGGUUACAACAACCAUAUACAUGACCAUUUUCUCUUUGAAAACCUCCAAAGCCAAGAUUACAACACAUAUAUGCAUAAAUAUGUUGCUUCUUUAUAGUGUUUUAAUAACUAAGUUGAUCAAUGACUCACGCACUGUGACGAACCUGUAAGAUGAAAAACAAUAGACGUAAAAACUUUGAAUUACACAUGGACGUUGUGGCGUGUUAACUCGCAAAAUUAUGAACAAAACGUAAAAACGUGGAACCACGCAAGCACAUUGCUCCGUGGUAACUCGUAAAAUUAGUACGAAACGUAAAUCGAAAAUUUACGAAAGAUGAAAAGCAGAAAAAUUGUGAGAUUAAAUUGUAAAAGAAGAAAAGUUUUGGCUUUAAGGUGAACAAAAGCAAUUUUGUAAGUUAAAUUUGCAGAAUCAAAGAAAGUGGAUAAGCACGCUAAAGCUUGCGCAGAGAACCAACAUGUCUUUAUCCCUUUUGCCUUUGAUACUUUUGGCUCCCUAGCGCCAGAAGCCAUCAACUUCUUGACGAGGGUUCAACGGGUUAUCCACAGCAAUUGUUCGACCCCAAGGGGGCAGGGGUUUGUGUUCGGGAGGUUGGGGUUUGCAAUUCAGAAAGGGUUGGCGGCGCAGCUUGUUGCCCGUCUACCUUCUGUUUUGAUGUAACUUAACAAGUUUUCUGGUUUCUUAUAAGUAAUUAAACAAAAGUUUUUGCACCU
rnacentral:lncRNA from 1 species